UACAGAGGGGGCAAGCGUUGUUCGGAAUUACUGGGCGUAAAGGGCGCGUAGGCGGCCUUCUAAGUCAGACGUGAAAUCCCCCGGCUUAACCUGGGAACUGCGUCUGAUACUGGGAGGCUUGAGUAUGGGAGAGGGAUGUAGAAUUCCAGGUGUAGCGGUGAAAUGCGUAGAUAUCAGGAGGAACCCCAAUGGCGAAGGCAGCACUCUGGGACGUGACUGACGCUGAGACGCGAAAGCGUGGGGAGCAAACAGG
rnacentral:rRNA from 1 species